GAACCAGCCAAGUCGCGUGAAGGAAGACAGUCUAAGGAUGGUAAACUUCUUUUAUACGGGAAUAACGGGCGAUACGAGUAUUGCAUUGAAUGUACCGUAAGAAUAAGCAUCGGCUAACUCCGUGCCAGCAGCCGCGGUAAUACGGAGGAUGCGAGCGUUAUCCGGAUUUAUUGGGUUUAAAGGGUGCGUAGGUUGUUCGGUAAGUCAGCGGUGAAACCUGAGCGCUCAACGUUCAGCCUGCCGUUGAAACUGCCGGGCUUGAGUUCAGUGGCGGCAGGCGGAAUUCGUGGUGUAGCGGUGAAAUGCAUAGAUAUCACGAGGAACUCCGAUUGCGAAGGCAGCUUGCCAUACUGCGACUGACACUGAAGCACGAAGGCGUGGGUAUCAAACAGGAUUAGAUACCCUGGUAGUCCACGCAGUAAACGAUGAUUACUAGAGUUUGCGAUAUACCGUCAAGCUUCCACAGCGAAAGCGUUAAGUAAUCCACCUGGGGGAGUACGCCGGCAACGGUGAACUCAAGGGAA
rnacentral:rRNA from 1 species